CAGUCGCCGCGGUAAUACGUAGGUGGCAAGCGUUGUCCGGAAUUAUUGGGCGUAAAGGGCUCGCAGGCGGUUUCUUAAGUCUGAUGUGAGAGCCCCCGGCUCAACCGGGGAGGGUCAUUGGAAACUGGGAAACUUGAGUGCAGAAGAGGAGAGUGGAAUUCCACGUGUAGCGGUGAAGUGCGUAGAGAUGUGGAGGAACACCAGUGGCGAAGGCGACUCUCUGGUCUGUAACUGACGCUGAGGAGCGAAAGCGUGGGGAGCGAACAGGAUUAGAUACCCGCGUAGUCCCUGUCUCUUAUAC
rnacentral:rRNA from 1 species